rnacentral:lncRNA from 1 species
GACUUUAAUUUAAUUUGAAAUCCUAAUCCAAUUAGGACUCUAAGAAUCCUACUCCAAGUAGAACUCGUAAUUAAGUCCAAUUAAUUAAAUCCAAUUAAUUAAAUUAAAUUGCAAUCCAAUUGCAAUUAUUCCUUCUUCAACUCACUAACUCUUAGCGGGUUAACCAAUUAUCAAUCAAAUUGAUUAUUUGUGAUUCCUAAUCACAAUUCAACCAUCGGAUCGGUCAAUACCUCUUAAUGUGUGUGACCCCAUAGGUUCUAUUGCGAUCUCUAUCACAAUAUCAUUGAAAACUCCUUUCAAUGGGUUGGAACAAUUCCAACUCAACUCACCAGGGACCAUCGAUCAUCAAGAUAGUCCCUGUGAGUCUCACCAUCCACCAGUGACACCUAGCAGCGUGUAGUGGCAACCCAGCAGAAUGGAAUGAUGAACCUCUAGGUGCAGUUAUCAUAUGAUACGGUCCUUCUAUCGUGGAUCCCUACAGAACGGAGGUCAUGGAUAACUCGUCAAACCCCGUCGUCUGUCAAUAUGUUUAGAUUUAUUCGACUUAAGUUCGAGAAUGAAAAACUCCUUUUCCACUGUACAUACUACCCCGGCCGAGGAUUUACGAACUCAGUCUCAUAAAUCACAUAGGAUCUCUCUUAACCUAU